CAGAAAACAGAAACAUCUUGUAAUAUAAUUUUCUACGAAAUGUUGUAAUAUCAAACAGCUGUUAAAUAGCAAAUAUAAUAAUCAUAAAAAGCCUUUAUAUGACCGGUUUUAUUGCAACCAAUAUUUCUGUCAAUAAAAGUAAAGAAAAUAAGUUUUUUUACUGAAAAAUUCAAAAUUACCUCUAUAGAAAAACCAAUGAAAAAGAGAUAUUAUACAUGUAUAUUAUAUGAGAUAUUAUACUAAAUGUUGAUAAUCACAAUCUAUAUUUUGAUUUCAUUUGUAUUUAUUAAACAGUUUGAUUCAAUGAAAAUACAUGUAAGACCAGAAUUUAGAUUUCUACAUUACCCCGCAGUGGUGUAUCCAAGAGGAUAUUUUGUGCCAUACAAGAAAACCACUAGAAAAUGGCCAUAUGUCUAAAACUAUUCCAAUGUCCUAUGAGAGAACAUAGCAGUGUGACCGGGGAUGAAAAACAGAUUUGUAUUUUUGUUUUUUUUUUUUGGUAGUAAUGAAUAAACUGAACCAACUUUUAUAAAAUUUGGCACAGAAACCUAACAAAACCUUCAGAGUAACAUGGGUAUUCGUAAAGUUGAUUAUAUAUGCUAUAUUUUAUAAUUAAAAAGUUACAGAUAGAAGAUAAAUCAUAGGUUCAUAAGUAAACCUCAACUAACUUAGGGUUACCAGUUAACCCACACCCCAAUCGGAUGGUCUUAGGGAAUUGGGAGAAAUAGACCCUGAAUGGGAGAACUGUAACUCUUCUAGUGUAAUAUUCUAUCAGUCAUAUCUUCUUAACUGAGGGUUAUGAGAACCAGUAGCCAUGACUCUCUCUAUACUAGUGCAAAUGUGAGCUUGUGGAUUCUUUAAGGCCGAAUCGACUUUGCUGUGUGCAGAUACCUUCGGCCAUCCAUAUAGUUGGUGCUUUUCCUUGACUUUGACAUCCAGGAACUUGAUCGAAGAGGAUGAGUUUCUCAUAACAUUAUAAAAUUGUAGAAAAUAAAA